rnacentral:rRNA from 1 species
UACGGAGGGUGCGAGCGUUGUCCGGAGUUACUGGGCGUAAAGCGCGCGCAGGCGGCGGUGCUGGCCCGGCGUGAAAGCCCCCGGCUCAACCGGGGAGGGUCGUCGGGGACCGCACCGCUUGAGGGCGGUAGGGGCUGGUGGAAUGCCUGGUGUAGUGGUGAAAUGCGUAGAGAUCAGGCGGAACACCAGUGGCGAAGGCGGCUAGCUGGCCUGUAACUGACGCUGAGGCGCGAAGGCUAGGGGAGCGAACAGG